rnacentral:lncRNA from 1 species
CUCAUUACCACCACCACACAUGGCUUUCUCCAUUCUUAGAGAUUCCUUUUAUGCAGAGGCUACUCUCCUGGCUCUCUCCAGCCCAUCUCUUACUCCCGUCCUUUCCCCCAACCAGUCCUUUUUUCUUCCUUCUUUUUGGGGAAGGCAGGGUGAGACUGCCCUGGACCACAACUGAUAAUGGAUAAAUCUGGCUAAUUCUGAAUGCUAUAGAGGAAGCUCAUUUGGCAAUGUCUCUUAGCCUUUAACAGUGAUAAAGAUGAUAUCUUGGCCUCUAUCUGCGUUAUCGUUUGUCUUAUUUCUUAAUUGGUUCAAAAUCUGGAUGGGGAAAGCAAUUUUUAUUUACUGGGGUCCACUCAAAGUUCCCAAGAAAACACACACACACACACAAACACACACACACAGUUUUGUGAUGAUACAAUUCAAAGGAUAAAGGUGGCUUUUGUUUGUUUUACUAAUGCAAUGGUAGGGAGCAGGUGGAAACGAAGGGAUGUUGAAGCAGCUAAAGAAGUUUUUUAAAAAAAUCUAAGCAGAGUGCAAAGAAUGACGUGAGUGCUCAAUGUGGAUUCUGUUUUUAGGAUAGGAUAGUGCCUCUCAAACUGUGAUCACGCCAAAGAAAUACCUGGGGAUGUUGAAAUUCCUAUUAUGAUCACUAGAUCUAGAGUGGGGCCCAACUUCCAUGUUUCCAAUAAGCUCCAGGUGAUGCUGAUGCCUCCGGUCCACAGACAGCACCUAGAGCUACAAGGCUGUAAGACAUCAUGAAUCACUACCUUUUGCAGGCAGUAAUCACUCGUCAACCUAUUUAUUUAUUAUUAUUUUCUGUGAGGAGGAGGAAGAGAGGAAGGAAGAAGGGAAAAGUAGAGAAAAGGAGAGAAAAAAAGGAAGGGAAAAAGGAAGGGGAGCUCGACCUAUUUAUCUUGAAGCAAAUUUAUGCAAAUAGUUAUUUUGCUCAAUCAAAUAUUUAGAAUGCUCCAGUUUCCUAAAUGCACAUCGAUCUGGAUAGCAUUUCAUACCUGCCUAUGUCACUCAUCUGCCCCCACUUCUCAUGCUCACCCCCCAAUUUUCAGCAAGCUUUUACUUCUUUCACAACCCAUCCCAAAAUGUAAUGGCUUAAAAUGACUACCAUUUAUUUUGGUCACAGUUCUAUGGGUUACAGUUUGAACAGGGCUCAACUGGGCCAUUCUAUUGGUCUUGACUGGGCUUGCGUGUGAAUCUAUAGGCAGCUGCAGAGAGCUGGAUUGCCAUGUCUCUGGCAGUGCCGGCUGUUGACUGGGAUGUUGGAGAGGACUGGGCCACGUGUUUCACAGCAUCCACCUGGCUAGAGUAGGCUUGUUCACAUGGUGACAGAAAUGUUCCAAGCGCAGUCAGCCCUCCGUAUCCAUGCGCUCCGCAUCUCUGGUUUUAACCAACUGCAGAUAGAAAAUACUCAGGAAAAAAUUGAGACUGUACUGAACCCAUAUAGAUUUUUCUCUUGUCAUUAUUUCUUGUCAUAAUUUAGUAUAACAACUAUCUACACAGCAUUUACAUUGUAUUAAGUAACAUAAGUAAUCUAGAAAUGAUUUGAAGGAUACAAAAGGAUGCGCAUAGGUUAUAUGGAAACACUGCAGCAUUUUAUAUAAGAGACUAGAGUGUCCACUGAUUUUGGGAGGUCCUGGAACCAAUCCCCCAUGGAUACAGAGGGAUGACUGCACAUCCUUGGGGUCAGCCCAGAUGUGCAAGCCCUUUGAAUGCCUCUACCUGAAUCACAUUUGCUACCACCCAUCCCGCUGGUCACAGCCAGUUGCAUGACCAAGUCCAGAGUGAGACAGGAUUGCCUAAGGGCGUGGAUGCUGGGAGCAGGAAGCAUUCGUGGCUGCUUUUGUAAUCAGACUAUUUGAGUUGAAAAUGGCCUUUAAGACCUGUCACAGAAAGGCCUAUCAGGCUUCUUUUUAUCACCACACUGUUCCUCCUACACUUUCCUCCUCCUGGAACCCUUUUUCUAUCUGUCUUUGGACAGAGCCCUAGUCCACUUUUUUUUUUGAGACAGGGGAGUGCUCUUUUGCCCAGGUUCUGGAGUGCAGUGGCGCGAUCAUGGCUCACUGCAGCCUUGAACUCCUGGGCUACAGUGAUCCUCCUAGCUCAGCCUCCGGAGUAGCUGGGACUACAGGGAUGUGUCAACACGCCUGGCUAAUCUUUUAUUUUUUGUAGAGAUGGAGUUUCACUAUGUUGCCCAGGCUGGUCUUGAACUCCUGGGCUUAAGUGAUUCUCCUGCCUCAGCCUUGCAAAGUGGUGGGUUUACAGAUGUGGGCCACCAUGCCUGGCCACUAUUAUUUAUUUAUGCUAGUUACUUUAUAUAUUUUUAAUUCCAUGUCAAGUGGGUUUUCUUAUUGACUCCUUAUAGAUCAGGAAAGUGAAGCACAGAAAGGUGAAGUAACUUGUCCAAGAUCACACAGCUAGGAAGCUGCAUAGCCAAGAUUUGAACUCAUAUCUCUUGAACUCAAGAGGCCGGCCUUUUCAACUAGUCUUAUAAUUGAAAAUAAAUGGUUACAAAUGACCCACAUGCAGAUAAUGAAGAAUUGGCCAGAGAGUGUGUGUUUGCCCACUCGCUUGGACUGCAAAUCAGGCUUUAGGGGUAGAAGAAGAUCUCAGGGUUCAUGGGUUUUUGGGUCUCAGAUUUGGACUCAGAUCUUUAGGUUCACAAAUUUUUCUCAGUUCUCUUAGAGAGAAUCAGGCUCUGUUGAACUGAAUCAUUGUAACCAGUCUCACAAGAAGCUAAAAAAAAAAAAAAAAGACUAGAAUGCUAAUUUAUUAGUGUCUAUGGAUUUAGAGAAGUAACAACCACACCAGCACAGAUGUCAGAUGGUUAGAAUGACCAAUAGGGAAACUAAGUUGAAAUAAGAAGGUUGCAGAGUGAGUUUAUUUCCUGCCUCCUUGCAAAAAGGAUUUGAGUCCAUUGCAACGGGAGCUGCUAUUUUUAAGGAAUACAGUCACCACUGAGGCAUGGUGAGUCACUCUCAACUAAAAGGCUGUAUCUGCCAAACUGGCAGGAAGACUCAUUGAGUCAUCAAUGCUCUAUCUCUCUUGGACAAUGCUGGAGAAAGUCUUUUCUCUCAACUCUUCAUUUUCAAUAUUCCAUUAAAACAUCAGUAUCAGGCUUCACUUUAUUGGCUUGGGAUUGUGAAGUUGCUCUAUUGACUCUAAUUAUUCCCUGCCCAGCAUUACAGUUGCAGUUUGUGCAGCUGUCACCAGGGAAUGGCAAUGCCUCAGGCUUAAUUAUGUAGGAAUGGGGUGAUUGGUCAGUCUUUCCAUUGAUGUAAAUAAUUCAGGAAAAGUAACACAACCAAGUGAAGUGAAUGAUGCUUUUUCUAGAAAAAAAAAAUUCUCACUUAUAAAAAUGUGCUACACAGUUGGGAUUGUGAAGGAAAAAAAUGCGAAAAUCUGGUGUAAGAGUCAAGAUUGAGGGCAGGAGAAAGAAAUGACUCAAGAUGUCUUAACUUCCAAGGGAUUUAAUUCAGGGAAUGGCUGUUUACACAAUAAUUGGAAGGUCUAAGGGUAUGGGCUUUAGACUAGGUUUCCAGAAAUGACUCCCAGAAAAAAGCAGAACUGACCCACCAGAAGAGCUACUACCUCUGAGGCCACCACUAGGGCUACUGAUUUCAACUGUGAGACUGUUCCCGUAUCAGGAAGCCACACUAAACAAGCAGCUUGGCUUCAAAAUGAGUUUCAAGAUGUAACCUUGAAGCAAACUGCAGAAGCCUUCAAAAAAAUAAACUCCACAUCCCUCUCUUUCUCACCGCAUACACUCCCUCCACAUUUGUCUAACGGUACGCUAGUAUCUAAUUAUGUGCCUUCUUAGAAGUUCCAGGGGCUAAUCUUGAGAUGGGCAGACCAAGCCUGGAGACCCAGCUGCAAAAUUCCAGAGAUUAUCUCAAGGUGGCUAGUGAACAACCCAGCCAUUGUGGAGAUGAUGUCAGCCCAUGCUCCAGACCUUGCUCUUGUUGAACUCUGUAGGCAACAAGCAACCGGACCCGCAUUUGGUUACAGCGCUGCUCCUCACGCUGCCUCUAGACACGCAGAAGGCUGGAAAAUGGAUGCAGAAAGGCUGAAAAGCCUCAUGUUCCUACUACCUUGUUUGCCAAUGACAUCAAAGGCUUGUCAUGGAACAGGAAGUUGGUCUCCACCAGAUCCACCUUCCAAAUCUCAGUUGAGUAUAAUCUAAUGGCCAAACUUGAUUUGUUUCUGGAAUGCUAGUUGGGAGGGAGCCUAGAGAAUAUAGUUUGUCGUUUUGUAGCCCCUGGUAAGGUUGGUUGGAAGGAGUUGAAGUGAGCCAGUCCACACUCUCCACACAUCUAGGAUCAAGUGGCCUAUUCGCCACCAUGGCUACGACUAGCUGUAUCAGCUGUGAUCAUGAACCCUCACAUUUGCGAGGGCAGGCAGAGGGAGUCCCUCCCUACCACGUGGUCAUUGCCUUCCCUCUUUAUUAUUAACCCCUUUCAUAGAAGAAUCAGCUGAAGCCUAGAGGUGUGGGAUAUUUUGCACAAACCUAUGCUGGAGCAACAAGGGGAGCCAGGCUUGGAACUCCAUUUGUCUGAUUCCAGAGACUGCACUCCCCGCCAGUACUUGAUCCUCCCCACAGCCGCCGUCUCUCCAAGUCAAAGGCCCCUGAAGUUCUCCCUCACUCUGUUUCAAGUGGCAAAAGCCCCAGGCUCCAGGCCUGUUCACGGACUCCCGACAGAUCUCCUGCAGCUUUUCUCUUGCUCCUGCUUUUACUGGGAAUUAUAACUAUUUCAGCAGUUUUAGUGUUUGAAGGAAGCUUUCUCUACGUAUCUUUCCUCCCUCUGGGGACAGGAUUGCUUUACUCAUCACAGGGAAGGCCUUAAAUGACCUUCUGCUACAUCCACAGAUUUUAUUUCAUCUCUCUCCAUUAGAAAUAAAGAUGAAGGCAAGACCAUGGUUUCUGAGUUCUCUUAGUCUCCACAGAAUGUAAUUACUACAUUUUUUUCUUUUUCUAAUCACAGGAGACUUCUCUCAGCAACCUAGUUACUGAUUCUAUUACUCCCUCACUCUCCACUUCCAACUGCUCUUUGAAGCGGCUUUUUUAGGGAAAUUAUUCCGCUUCAAGUUGUUUAAGAGGCCUCAUUAAUGAGGUUGAUGACAGUCAGAUCCUGCCAUGCCUCUUAAGAGACUUGUCGUUUCCUCUACCCUAAACAUUGUAAAACAUACGCGGAUGGAAUGGUAAAGCAAUGUGGUCAUUAUUUGCCUAUUUGUAUCCACCAUUAGAAAACGUCUCCUUUUCAAUUUAAAAUACUCUCAAAAUAUGAGGUGUCGCCUAUUUGUCACUGGUCCCUACUCUCUCUCCUGUCUCCACAUCUGGGUUCAUUCAGUAACCACCAAAAGAAAAGCAACCCUUGGAAUCCAUUGUUAUCAUUUAUCCAUCCAAAACUGUGAAUGCUUACUAUGUGCCAGGCACUAUGCUAAGUGCUCAGAAGAGUAGGUGAAUAAAUAGGGUUCCCGUCUUCCAGACGCUUCCAAUCCAGAUAUUAUACAAGCGAUCAACUCAUACAAUAAUUUAAAGUGGGUGCCAGGUGUGGUGGCUCACGCUUGUAAUCCCAGCACUUUGGGAGGCCGAAGCAGGAGUAUCACCUGAAGUAGGAGUUCGAGACCAGCCUGACCAACACGGUGAAACCCCAUCUCUACUAAGUAUACAAAAAUUACCCUGGCGUGGUGGCGGAC